AGUCCCCAAGCCUGCAGCCGACCCGAGAGUCAGGAGUGGAGUGGAAAUGUCCAUGACAGCAAGAAGGGCUGAGCCCAGGGUGCCGGACGGGGCAAAGCCCUGAGCUCAGGCCUACGUGGGCUCCUGAAACCCUGAAGGCUUGGAACCCCUGACCCGCAGUGGGGCUACGCUAAGGCCAAGACCACACCGUGCUGGUUUGAGAGGUCCCCUGCAGCCCUCACGGGGCCACUCCAGAUGGCAGGGACAAAGGUGGCUCCCUGGCUCCAGUGCCCCCAGCCAGCCUCCUGGAAGCCCUUUUCUGGCUCCCGUCACGCCCCCGGGGAGGCCUGGCCCCUGCUGGUCCCUAGGUUCCAAGAGGGGCCAGGAUCACUUGAAGUCCUUCUUCAGUCCUGGCGAGGGGUCUGGCCAGGGGGCUGCAGGCCCCAUGGGAAGGACACACUGGCUCACCAGAAACUUCAAAUGCAAACUGAAUAUUUCAACACGAUGAAUAAUUCAGUCUCUGGCACCGGCACCAGCUGCGUGGCCAUUUUCCUGCUGGAUUUCGUCAUUACUUUGAAAGCUCUAUUGCAGGUGGUAACCACAGGGGUGCGGCAGCACGGCAGCACCAGGCGGCCCUGGGGUGAGUUCCCGAGAUGCACCAGCAGUCCCUGCUCUGUGAGUGACCCCACCCAUCACCAGAGGCCUCCUCCGCCCUCCACGGGCCGCCGGGACCAGGCCGGGGACCCUCCACAGGACACGCCAUCAGAGGCCAGACUCAGUGCUUCCUGCGUCCCUCAAGGGCCCAAGCUGCCAGCGCUCGGCGCGGGACCCUCAGCCCUCAUCUAUCCAGAGCUCAAGCCACCGGUGGUGCCCGUCACCGCGUGGUCUACUGCCGCCCCAGGAGCUGUCCUGGUGGGGGCGGUGGAGGAAGGCAGGCGAGGCUGUGCAAGCGCCGUGAAGAGGCGGAGCAGUGGAGCCAGAGAGAGCUGGGGAGGGUGGCCUUCCAGGCAGCACACUGCGGGCAGGCCUGGCCCAGCCCAGAUGGUUCAAAGAAAGGCAUCAAUUCUUCAGUGGAGGUACUUUCAGGAUUCAUAUGGGAAUUGCAGCAUCACAUGCAGAAAAGGAAAAAAUGACAGAAACAGAAGGCAUCCCAAACCGGAGAGAGGAGACUCCCCCUCCGCCCCCAUGAGAAGCCUAGGAAGUGACUGAAUCAAGUUAACCCCUCCUUCCUGGCCUGGGGGCUAGGCCCUGCCCAGUCCAGGGGGCCUGUGGACAAGUCCCAGCCCAGGGCCAGGCCGAUUCUUUACCAGCUGAGCCACCAGGGAAGCCCAAAUGCCCCCAGGAGCAGUCCCCAAAGGACGAGGUUCUGACCCACAAGUGGGUCUGGGGGUCCUGGUCCUGAAACAUCGCUCUCAGGGAGGAGUGUGUGUGCCAGG